rnacentral:rRNA from 1 species
UCUGGUUGAUCCUGCCGGACCCGACUGCUAUCAGAGUGGGACUAAGCCAUGCGAGUUGACGUAGUAAUACGUAGCGAACGGCUCAGUAACACGUAGUCAACAUGCCCAGGGGACGUGGAUAACCUCGGGAAACUGAGAAUAAACCGCGAUAGGUCACAAUUUCUGGAAUGGAUUUUGGCUUAAAUCUACAUGGCCCCUGGAUUGGACUGCGGCCGAUCAGGCUGUUGGUGAGGUAAUGGCCCACCAAACCUGUAACCGGUACGGGCUCUGAGAGGAGGAGCCCGGAGAUGGGCACUGAGACAAGGGCCCAGGCCCUAUGGGGCGCAGCAGGCGCGAAACCUCUGCAAUGGGCGAAAGCCUGACAGGGUUACUCUGAGUGAUUUCCGCUAAGGGGAUCUUUUGACACCUCUAAAAAUGGUGUAGAAUAAGGGGUGGGCAAGUCUGGUGUCAGCCGCCGCGGUAAUACCAGCACCCCGAGUGGUCGGGACGAUUAUUGGGCCUAAAGCAUCCGUAGCCGGUUCUGCAAGUCUUCCGUUAAAUCCAGCCGCUCAACGGAUGGGCUGCGGAAGAUACUAUAGGACUAGGAGGCGGGA